rfam:Gossypium arboreum cultivar AKA8401 contig_66429_1, whole genome shotgun sequence.
AAUCCAUGGUGAGGGCACCUUUUCAAAAAAUUCUUGUAUCUCUCCUAUUCAUCAUAGAGUGUUUCUAGAUCCAUCUUCACAAAAGAAGAGAUAUCAUUCCUUAAUUU